rnacentral:rRNA from 1 species
UACGUAGGGUGCGAGCGUUAAUCGGAAUUACUGGGCGUAAAGCGUGCGCAGGCGGUUCGUUAAGUCAGAUGUGAAAGCCCCGGGCUCAACCUGGGAACUGCAUUUGAAACUGGCGGGCUUGAGUGCGGCAGAGGGGGGUGGAAUUCCGCGUGUAGCAGUGAAAUGCGUAGAGAUGCGGAGGAACACCAGUGGCGAAGGCGGCUUUCUGGUCUGUAACUGACGCUGAGGCGCGAAAGCGUGGGGAGCAAACAGG